AUUGAACGCUGGCGGCAUGCCUUACACAUGCAAGUCGAACGGCAGCGGACCUUCGGGUGCCGGCGAGUGGCGAACGGGUGAGUAAUAUAUCGGAACGUACCUUUCAGUGGGGGAGUAACGUAGCGAAGUUACGCUAAUACCGCAUAUUCUGUGAGCAGGAAAGCAGGGGAGUCGCAAGACCUUGCGCUGAUUGAGCGGCCGAUAUCAGAUUAGCUAGUUGGUGAGGUAAAGGACUCACCAAGGCGACGAUCUGUAGCGGGUCUGAGAGGAUGAUCCGCCACACUGGAACUGAGACACGGUCCAGACUCCUACGGGAGGCAGCAGUGGGGAAUUUUGGACAAUGGGCGCAAGCCUGAUCCAGCCAUGCCGCGUGAGUGAAGAAGGCCUUCGGUUGUAA
rnacentral:rRNA from 1 species